rnacentral:piRNA from 1 species
UAGAGGCUGCAGGUCCCUGGAGAUUUGGU